GUGGGCAUAGCUCAGUGGUGGAGCACAUGCUCAGCACGCAAGAGGUCCUAGUUUCAAUCCCUAGUACCUCCA
rnacentral:tRNA from 1 species